rnacentral:rRNA from 1 species
AGUAAAAGUCGUAACAAGGUCUCCGUUGGUGAACCAGCGGAGGGAUCAUUACAGAGUUAUCCAACUCCCAAACCCAUGUGAACUUAUCUCUUUGUUGCCUCGGCGCAAGCUACCCGGGACCUCGCGCCCCGGGCGGCCCGCCGGCGGACAAACCAAACUCUGUUAUCUUAGUUGAUUAUCUGAGUGUCUUAUUUAAUAAGUCAAAACUUUCAACAACGGAUCUCUUGGUUCUGGCAUCGAUGAAGAACGCAGCGAAAUGCGAUAAGUAAUGUGAAUUGCAGAAUUCAGUGAAUCAUCGAAUCUUUGAACGCACAUUGCGCCCAUUAGUAUUCUAGUGGGCAUGCCUGUUCGAGCGUCAUUUCAACCCCUAAGCACAGCUUAUUGUUGGGCCUCUACGUUUCGUAGUGCCUCAAAGACAUUGGCGGAGUGGCAGUAGUCCUCUGAGCGUAGUAAUUCUUUAUCUCGCUUUUGUUAGGUGCUGCCCCCCCGGCCGUAAAACCCCCAAUUUUUUCUGGUUGACCUCGGAUCAGGUAGGAAUACCCGCUGAACUUAAGCAUAUCAAUAAGCGGAGGAAAAGAAACCAACAGGGAUUGCCUUAGUAACG